UACAGAGGUGCCAAGCGUUAGGCGGAAUCACUGGGCUUAAAGCGCGUGUAGGUGGUUCGUUAAGUGUCCGCGUGAAAUCCCACGGCUCAACCGUGGAACUGCCGGGCAUACUGGCGAUCUUGAGGCAUUCAGGGGCGAGCGGAACAAAUGGUGGAGCGGUGAAAUGCGUAGAUAUCAUUUGGGACGCCAAUGGUGAAAACAGCUCGCUGGGAAUGAUCUGACACUGAGACGCGAAAGUCAGGGGAGCGAACGGG
rnacentral:rRNA from 1 species